rnacentral:rRNA from 1 species
GACGGAGGGUGCGAGCGUUGUUCGGAAUACUGGGCGUAAAGCGCGCGCAGGUGGGUGCGCAAGUCGGAGGUGAAAGCGCAGGGCUCAACCCUGCGACGCCCUUCGAGACUGCGUGUCUAGGGACCGGUAGAGGUGAGUGGAAUUCCCGGUGUAGCGGUGGAAUGCGUAGAUAUCGGAAGGAACAUCAGUGGCGAAAAGCGGCCAGCUGGGCCAGGUCCGACACUGAGGCGCGAAAAGCGUGG